UACGGGGGGAGCAAGCGUUGUUCGGAUUUACUGGGCGUAAAGGGCGCGUAGGCGGCCACUGCAAGUCGGUUGUGAAAUCUCCGGGCUUAACCCGGAAAGGUCAAUCGAUACUGCAGGGCUAGAGUGCAGAAGGGGCAACUGGAAUUCUCGGUGUAGCGGUGAGAUGCGUAGAUAUCGAGAGGAACACCUGCGGCGAAGGCGGGUUGCUGGGCUGACACUGACGCUGAAGCGCGAAAGCUAGGGGAGCGAACGGG
rnacentral:rRNA from 1 species